CCUACGGGAGGCUGCAGUGAGGAAUAUUGGUCAAUGGGCGGGAGCCUGAACCAGCCAAGUCGCGUGAGGGAAGACGAUCCUAUGGAUUGUAAACCUCUUUAGGCGGGGAGCAAUGCCGGGCACGCGUGCCCGGAGGGAGAGUACCCGCAGAAUAAGCAUCGGCUAACUCCGUGCCAGCAGCCGCGGUAAUACGGAGGAUGCGAGCGUUAUCCGGAUUUAGUGGGUUUAAAGGGUGCGUAGGCGGAUUUUUAAGUCAGCGGUAAAAUGUCCGGGCUCAACCCGGGCCGGCCGUUGAAACUGGGGAUCUUGAGUGGGCGAGAAGUAUGCGGAAUGCGUGGUGUAGCGGUGAAAUGCAUAGAUAUCGCGCAGAACUCCGAUUGCGAAGGCAGCAUACCGGCGCCCGACUGACGCUGAGGCACGAAAGCGUGGGGAUCGAACAGGAUUAGAUACCCCAGUAGUC
rnacentral:rRNA from 1 species